UGGCGGACGGGUGAGUAAUGCACGGGAAUAUGCCUAGCAGUGGGGAACAACCUUGGGAAACCAGGGCUAAUACCGCAUACGCUCUACGGAGGAAAGCGGGGGAUCUUCGGACCUCGCGUUGUUAGAGUAGCCCGUGUCCGAUUAGCUUGUUGGUGGGGUAACAGCUUACCAAGGCGAUGAUCGGUAGCUGGUCUGAGAGGAUGAUCAGCCACACCGGGACUGAGACACGGCCCGGACUCCUACGGGAGGCAGCAGUGGGGAAUAUUGGACAAUGGGGGCAACCCUGAUCCAGCGAUGCCGCGUGAGUGAAGAAGGCUUUCGGGUUGUAAAGCUCUUUCGCAGGGGAAGAAACGGCAACGGCUAAUAUCCGUUGUUACUGACGGUACCCUGAUAAGAAGCACCGGCUAACUACGUGCCAGCAGCCGCGGUAAU
rnacentral:rRNA from 1 species